AACAAAGAAGAAAAAAAAAACUCAAACACCUUCAAGAACUUGUAUCUUUCUUUGUUAGUAUUUGUUACUACAAUUUUACAUUCUUUUCAUCUCUACAUAUUUCAUUAGUCAUGGCACCUCAAGCAGUUUCCUUCAAGUCCUUCGCCGUUGCUCUUAUUGUGGCGCUUUUCUUCUCCGCCUCCGCUCUGGACUUAGUUUCGGGGCAGUCGCCGGUGCCGGCGCCGGCGCCGGCACCAGAUGCCGGAGCAGCUGGAUCCGUGUCGAGCUCGGUCGCCAUGAUUGGAGCUUCCGUUGUGAUUUCAUUGCUCGCCAUCUUCAAGCACUGAAGAAUAAUCUGAUGAUGGAUCGAUUUUGUGUGAAGAUUAUUGAUUCGUUCUGCACACUCAGAUUUAUUGUUGCUGCUUUAUAAUACGUUACGAGUGAUGAUUAUUAUGUACGUAUAAAAGAGAGAGAGAGAGGGAUUUUACACCAUUCUUAUAUUGAACCAUUUAUUGUAGGUGUUAGUGAGAAAUAAGAGGGAUUUUGAAAUCCUCUGUUAUCAUCGUAACAUCGUUAUUUCAGUGUGUAAUAAUAGUAAAUAGUAAUAUACAUAUUCCCCAAUCUUAUGAUUGGUUAGUUCUUAUUGUUGUUUCUUUUAUCGUUUUUAACUGUUUUUUUUUCUUUCUUUUGGAUAUUGUUAAAUGUUAACCGGUGUCUUUAUCAUUAGAAUAUUGAUUACAAAAUUAAAAAAUAAAAUAUUUAAUGUAAAAUUUGUUGUAGAACGUAAAAAAAGUGUGGACUAUACAGAUUUAUACAUCCUAAUAAAAUAAUGUCUGAUUUUGCUUUACUUAUGUAAAAUUUAAUUCAAUUUUAUUUUUCGGUUGAAGAGAACACAAUAUGGAGUUAGUUCAAUUCUUCCUGCCGG
rnacentral:lncRNA from 1 species